UGGGCGUGCGAACGAGAGAAGGAACCAAGGGAACCAAAACCCUAAACAACCUAAAAUCAUCAAAUUGAAAGGGGAAUCGAGGGCUGAUCGAAUGCAUGAGUCUAGAUACCCUUUAAUCUAAGUGUAUUGAUCAUAAGGAACGUGUCAAGGAGAGCUCAAGCAUAGGAGGAUAACGGGUCAAGAUAAGGCAAGGUGACAAAUACACUUAUUGGAAUACUCAAGGUGAUGAAUGUCGGACUUUCGAAGUGUUGAUAUAAUAAUGAAACGGUUGAAUGUUGAAAGGAUAAUCAGACUGAAGUAACUUAUGCGGUAAAUCCUCAAUUUUGGCGACUUGGAGAAUCGGAGCGAGCGCGUGUUCGUGUUAUGCGAUACCAAACGCUUCCGCUAGUUUGUUCAAAUGUUUUUGACCCAAAAUUUGUUGUAUUGGUUUUUAGUAGUAUCUUGUUGAACGAAUUGUAGAAUUGUAUCUAGUUUGUUUAUGUUUAAAACAGGGGUAUGCUCGUUUUAUGGACGGGUCAUGCCCGAUUUUUUGUUAAAUUAUAGUUUGAUAAUAUCACAUUUAGGAAGGUGAAAUUUUGGG
rnacentral:lncRNA from 1 species